rnacentral:tRNA from 1 species
GCACUGUUGGUCUAAUGGUUAGGAUAUCUGCCUUUCGAGCAGAUGGUCCGGGUUCAAUUUCCGGACGGUGCA